rnacentral:rRNA from 1 species
GGACUACACGGGUAUCUAAUCCUGUUUGCUCCCCACGCUCUCGCGCCUCAGUGUCAGUAUCUGUCCAGGUAGCCGCCUUCGCCACUGGUGUUCCUUCCGAUCUCUACGCAUUUCACCGCUACACCGGAAAUUCCACUACCCUCUACAGUACUCUAGCUCAUCAGUCAUCGAUGCAGUUCCUAGGUUAAGCCCAGGGAUUUCACAUCAAUCUUAACAAACCACCUACGCGCCCUUUACGCCCAGUAAUUCCGAUUAACGCUCGCACCCUCUGUAUUACCGCGGCUGCUGGCAC